rnacentral:lncRNA from 10 species
CACUUGGUAUAAAGUUUAUUUGCAUGUGUAAAAAGUGUAUAUAACAGGAAACCUCUUAAAAUAAAAACAUAGUAAAGUUUUAGGAAAAAUAUGAAUUUAGAAAAUGGGUUGCUUUUUCAGAUCACAAAAAUACUGAUAUAUGUGUACUAAAUUACCUUAAACUGUUGAGGUGUUAGAGAAACAUUUUUCAAAAAACAAAAAAAGUUGGAGGUUGGAGGAGACACAAAAUAUAGAAGAAUGAAGGUACUGAUAUAUGUCACACAUGUUUUAAAAUGACCACACAGGCAGAAUCUACAAAAGAAUCAAAUUCUUUAAAAAUACAGAAAUGCUAGAGAUUCCCCUAAUAGUGUUAAUGGCAUACAUAACAUUCCAAAUCAAAUAACUAAUAAAAAUUUAAUUCACAUUCAAUUAAAACAAAAACAAUAUGAGUAAUGUGAAAUUGAGUUUUUGUUAAGCACUGACAAAUAUUUAGCAUUAAAAAGUCUCUUGUACGUCUAGGAAGAGUACACACACAUAAAUUAUCUGAGAAGUAGAAAAAUAUGGAUUAGAAUUUUAGAGGCAAACUUGAAACCUAAGACAUGGAGGACACUGUUGCUCUGCAGGUUUUAAUUGUUCUGAGAGUUUUCUCUAUGUAUUUGUUCAGAGGGCAUUAAAAGAUGCAAAACUUGGGGCCAGGCACAGUGGAUAAUCUUAAUGGUUAGACAUCCUUGCUUUUUUAAUAUUCAACACAAGAAAUCUAUAACCUUUAUCUGUACAAAGGAUCCAAAGAGUUCACUAAUUCUACCUAUGCUCUUUAUAAGAAAGAUUUUUUUUGAACCAUUAAAACAAACAUUACAAAAAAGUGCUUUCUUCUUAACUGCAAGGAUAUAGAGUCAAAAAGUCUCUUAUCAAGCUGAUAAUGAUCAAGUUCAGGUCCAAGAUGCAGACAGAACUUCUGUGGUACAGUACAUGGACUUAUUCUUCCUUUAUUCCUUGCAGUUUGUCAUAAAAAGUUGGAUAGUCAUGUCUUUUGUGGUCUUCUUCUUCUUCUUCUUCUCCUUCUCCUCCUCCUCCUCCUUCAUCUCCUUCUCCUUCUUCUCUUUUCUUCUUCUUUUCUUUCUUUCUUUUUUUAUUUUAUUUUUGAGAUGGAGUCUUGCUCUGUCGCCCAGGCUGGAAUGCAGUGGCGUGAUCUCAGCUUACUGCAACCUCUGCCUCCCAGGUUCGAGCAAUUCUCCUGCUUCAGCCUCCCAAGUAGGUGGGACUACAG